rnacentral:lncRNA from 1 species
AUUAACAUAAUGCUAGUUAUCUUGCUAUCGUUUACCGCUGCAUAUUUUGGAUACUGCUUAUUGUUAUUGAAUUGUGUUGUUAGGUGAACCUCUCGCUUUAGAUUGUUUGGGGUGGGAUAGCGAGGGGUUGUAUUUGUUAGUUGGGGAUCAUAAUUCACUGAGUAACAUUAGGUUACUCAUCCAACUCCGUUGUCCUUUUUCCAGGUAGCUUAGGUAAGGAUGAUCGGAUAGCUGGGUGCUGGACGUUAGGACCACCGGUGUAGAUUUUUAUGCCUUUUGUAAACUGUAUUGUGGAUUUGUGUUUAGUUGACUCGAUUUGGCAUUAGGCCAGGACCGGUCUUGAAUUAUAUCAAUUUAUGGAUAUUUCUCGAAUCAAUAAAG